UGCAGACUUCGUGCUCAGGCACACUUCCUUCUACACUCACAUCAAACCCGGAGGGAAGGCAAGGGAAUGUGCAAAGACAAUGGGAAGGAAAGGGAAAGAGAAGGGAAGGCAAGGAAAAGAAAGGAAAAGAAGAAAGGAAAGAGCAGACCCAGCGGAGCACUUUUUAAGGCACUGUGGAGCACUUGAGGAGCAGCCAAGCUUGCAGGCAUCUCCCCUGCUUCUGGCCUGGAUUGCACGCAGGCUCCUGCAAAGCUGCAAAAAGCAGCAGGGGGAAGCAGCAAGGUAUCUCCCCAGCAGAAAUCAAGAGAAAGGAAGAGACAGCCUCUCUGAUGUGUCAGCGAUGCACAUGGAUAUAAAUGAGCAGCCACAGUACACUGAGGAAUUGACAGCAAAAUCUUUGGGCACUGAGCUCUCUUCGCACAGACAGGCUGUUCAAAAGACUUGGAGGUCUUGGAGGAAAUUCGUUAAAUCCUAAGGGAUAAACUAAUGGCACAAGAAAUGGAGGAGAAGCCAUUUUGUCCUGAGGAUGGCAUGUUGCCCGGCCAUCGACAGAUGAGUGGAAACCCACACGCCAAGGGAUGCCGGAAGCAUGGCUUUUUCCCUUGGAACGAUGAGGAGCUCCAAAUGCAAAAUGUAUGACUCAUUCUCUCAAACGCCACGGUCAAGAAUGGAGGAGAGGAGGUCAUGGUACUCCUCCAAGCUCAGCCCCCAGAACAGGCUUGCCAGAUACCAAAAUGAGAUGUUAUGAGACAUUUGGCUGGUGUAGCUGGUCUCCCCACUUCACACCCUCAAGCAGUAAAGCAGCGCUGGCUGGUAGAAAUCAACAGUAUAGACACAAUCCCUCAUGGUUUCCAAUGAAAGCUGGGAAUUUCUGGAGCUGUUUGUAGGUCCUGAGGGUUUCUGGGUGAGCAAAUGUACCUCUCCAUCCCAGUAGGAAUGAACUAGCUGCUGGGGCCGAGCAAGACAGCCAGAGAAGGUACUUUCCAAGGCUGUGUUGCAUUCUCCAGCGUGACCCUUUUCUUCUCCCCCCCAGAGCACAGGGGAUUUUGUACUCUGUUUGGGAUGGCCUUGUCAAAUACUCUUGACCUGCUACAUGAAGCCUUGGAGGAAGGCAUUCCCCUUAGUUUGAUCCUCCACCAUUACAGUGAGAUGAGUGUGGAACAAUCCUUUAUUAAAGGGUCAUGAGAUCACU
rnacentral:lncRNA from 7 species